CAGAUAGCUCAGUUGGUAGAACAGAGGUCUGAAAAUCUUCGUGUCGUUGGUUCGAUUCCGACUUUG
rnacentral:tRNA from 1 species